AUUGAACGCUGGCGGCAUGCCUAACACAUGCAAGUCGAACGGGGCAGCAAUGCCUAGUGGCGGACGGGUGAGGAACACGUAGGAAUCUGCCCUUAAGUGGGGGAUAACCAGGGGAAACCCUGACUAAUACCGCAUGAUCUCUUCGGAGCAAAGAGGGGGACCGCAAGGCCUCUCGCUUCUGGAUGAGCCUACGUCUGAUAGCUAGUUGGUGGGGUAAAGGCCUACCAAGGCGACGAUCAGUAACUGGUCUGAGAGGAUGAUCAGUCACACCGGAACUGAGACACGGUCCGGACUCCUACGGGAGGCAGCAGUGGGGAAUAUUGGACAAUGGGCGCAAGCCUGAUCCAGCAAUGCCGCGUGUGUGAAGAAGGCCUUCGGGUUGUAAAGCACUUUAGCCUGGAAAGAAAAAACUUUGGUUAACACCCAAAGUCUUGACGGUACCAGGAGAAUAAGCACCGGCUAACUCUGUGCCAGCAGCCGCAGUAACAC
rnacentral:rRNA from 1 species